rnacentral:piRNA from 1 species
UAUUGCAGUACUUCCAGGAACGG